rnacentral:rRNA from 1 species
GACGAACGCUGGCGGCGUGCUUAACACAUGCAAGUCGAACGAAAAUACCAAGCUUGCGUGGUUGAUUAGUGGCGAACGGGUGAGUAACACGUGAGUAACCUGCCCCUUACUUUCCUGGAUAACUUCUCGAAAGGGUAGCUAAUACGGGAUAUUCUGACCAGCCUGCAUGGGUUGGUUGGGAAAGGUUGUUUUUCUGGUAAGGGCUGGGCUCGCGGCCGAUGAGCUUGUUGGUGGGGUGAUGGCCUACCAAGGCUUUGACGGGUAGCCGGCCUGCGAGUGUGGGGCGUGAGAGUGGGACUGAGAUACGGGCGACACUGAUACGGGCGGCAGCCGUGGGGAAGAUUGCAGGAUGGGCGCAAGCCUGAUGCAGCGACGCCGGGUGAGGGAUGAAGGCGUUCGGGUUGUAAGCCUCUUUCGUCAGAGAACAAGGCACUGCUUUUUUGGUGGUGUUGACGGUACCUGGAUAAGAAGCGCCGGCUAACUACGUG